rnacentral:rRNA from 1 species
GAUGAACGCUGGCGGCGUGCCUAAUACAUGCAAGUAGAACGUUGAAGCUUGGUGCUUGCACCGAGCGGAUGAGUUGCGAACGGGUGAGUAACGCGUAGGUAACCUGCCUCUUAGCGGGGGAUAACUAUUGGAAACGAUAGCUAAUACCGCAUAAAAGACGAUAUCGCAUGAUAUUGAUUUGAAAGGUGCAAAUGCAUCACUAAGAGAUGGACCUGCGUUGUAUUAGCUAGUUGGUGAGGUAACGGCUCACCAAGGCGACGAUACAUAGCCGACCUGAGAGGGUGAUCGGCCACACUGGGACUGAGACACGGCCCAGACUCCUACGGGAGGCAGCAGUAGGGAAUCUUCGGCAAUGGGGGCAACCCUGACCGAGCAACGCCGCGUGAGUGAAGAAGGUUUUCGGAUCGUAAAGCUCUGUUGUAAGAGAAGAACGAGUGUGAGAGUGGAAAGUUCACACUGUGACGGUAACUUACCAGAAAGGGACGGCUAACUACGUGCCAGCAGCCGCGGUAAUACGUAGGUCCCGAGCGUUAUCCGGAUUUAUUGGGCGUAAAGCGAGCGCAGGCGGUUAGAUAAGUCUGAAGUUAAAGGCUGUGGCUUAACCAUAGUACGCUUUGGAAACUGUUUAACUUGAGUGCAGAAGGGGAGAGUGGAAUUCCAUGUGUAGCGGUGAAAUGCGUAGAUAUAUGGAGGAACACCGGUGGCGAAAGCGGCUCUCUGGUCUGUAACUGACGCUGAGGCUCGAAAGCGUGGGGAGCAAACAGG